ACUAUAUCUAGCCCAUACUCCUCCUCAUCACUACUACUACAAGUCAGUCAAAUAAAACAUUUACCAUACAUCUAAAGUAUAGGAGAUAGAA
rnacentral:rRNA from 1 species